rfam:Lucilia cuprina strain LS Scaffold461, whole genome shotgun sequence.
UCCUUCCUUGUCAUGGGGAGCAUAAUACUCAGUGAACGUUUAGUGAGAGUAUUGAUGCUGACACCAUUGAUAUUUUAAACCCCUGUACGUUGGACUUGUUGAAAGUCUUUUAAACGUAUGGAAUUUUUGGACAU